rnacentral:rRNA from 1 species
GACGAGGGGUCCUAGCGUUGUUCGGAAUCAUUGGGCGUAAAGCGUGUGUAGGCUGCCAAAAAAGUCAGUUGUGAAAUCCCCGGGCUUAACCCGGGAAGCGCUUCUGAUACUGUUUGGCUUGAGUACUGGAGAGGAUAGUGGAAUUCCUGGUGUAGUGGUGAAAUACGUAGAUAUCAGGAGGAACACCGGUGGCGAAGGCGGCUAUCUGGCCAUGUACUGACGCUGAGACACGAAAGCGUGGGGAGCAAACAGG